CUGGCCAUCCGCCCGCGGGACCGCGACCUGCGUGCCCAGAACAGCAGAGGACCCGCGCCCGGCGGGCUCCAGGCGCUCACUGCUCGCUCAGACCACGCGUCUCCAUGGCGACCGAUCCACGCCACGCGCACUACCAAGAAGUGGCCGCCAGGGGCACCCUAAGGCUCUAGAUCUGUAUGCCUGUAUGUUAUCAUCUACUUGAGCUCUGAUGUGACUAAGUAGACGCUGUGGGUCCCUGGACGGACACGGACAUGGCUCCUCCACACCUGUGCGGGCUCCGGAGCGAGAAGAGCACACCAGAUCCUUUGGAACGUGAGUUACCGAUGACUGUGAGCUGAGGUGCAUGGAACCCAAGAACAGCAAGAACGGCAAGUGCUGUGAACUGCGAGGGCACCUCUGAGCGCCCCGCCUCUACCCCCAUCCCAGCUCUUAUCAAGACCGGACUCAUGGGCUGAGGGUACAGCUCAGUGGCAGGGCACUUACACAGCACGUAGGAGACUGAAGUGUCUCGCCCAGCCACACCGCAGUUAAAAGGACCAAACCUGGUAUGAGCCAUUGCUUGCUUUUUUUUUUUUCCUUCAGGUUUAUCCACCGAAGGUCCUAUUUUCCAAAUGUGGCUUGCAAGAGACAGAGGUUCUUGCCUAACAUAUAUCGAGCACUGGGUUUGAUCCCCAGCACCCGGGAAACUUGGCAUGGUGGCACACACCUGUAAUCCCAGAACCUGGGAGGUGAAGACAGAGGGAUCAGGAGUUCAAGAUCAUCCUUGGCUACAAAUUGACUUUGAGAGCAGCCAAGUUAUAGGAGACACUGUGACAAGCUACCAUGGCAACCAAAACCUAGAAUGCCUACUGUAGUAUUUCUUAUCCUAUAAUCCCUUCAGGAAUGUCACCCUUCCCACAGAAAGGGACAGUCAAUUCUAUAUUCCCUGCAGUCUGGGUAGAUUUGUUGACUUCCAUGAAAUGAAUAGUAUGUGUCAUGUCCGGGAUGUAACUCAUGUGUUAGAAUGCUUGCCUUACAUGCAAAACCCUAGGCUUCCUAUCCUCAGUUUCCUUCCUGACCAUAUGCCUAUCUCUCUUGGUUGCUUGCUUUAUUUAAAGCUAAAUUUAAAUUUUAAAAUUUAUUUUAUGUUUACAUAUGUGUUCACACAGGUGCCACUGCAUGUAUGGAGGAGUCAGAGGGACAAUCCAAGGGAGUCUCCUUCCACCACGUAGGUCCUGGGGAUAGACCUCAGGUCUUCCUGUUUAAUUCUAGGAGACUUUACCCAGUGACCCAUCUUUUCCCACUGAUUUGCUUGAUUUUAUUUGUUUGUUUGUUUGUUUGUUUGUUUUGUACUAGAGGGUGGACCCAGGGCCUCAGAAAUGCUAACACUGGCCAGACAACUCAGAAAUGCUAACACUGGCCAGACAACUCAGAAAUGCUAACACUGGCCAGACGUUCUACCACUGAGCUACACCCUCAGCUCUAUGAUUUUCACUGUUGAUCUGUAAGAGUUUUGUGGGGGUUUUGUGUGUGUGUGUGUGUGUGUGUGUGUGUGUGUGUGUGUGUGUGUGUGUUUGGAGACAGGAGUCCAUGUAGCCCACACUAGCCUCAAACUCUAUGUAGCCAAGGGUGAUCCUAAACUUCUGAUUCUUCUGCUGUUUUAGUUGGUUUUAUUGCUGUGAAGAGAUACCAUGACCACAGCAACUCUUAUAAAGGAAAGCAUUUAACUGGGACUUGUAAUUGUUUUGGCUUUUCUAGGUCUGCCUGUGUUCCAAAAUAAUGACAGAGGCUUACUUUUAUUGGCAGUGCCUAUGGCCUUAAGCAAAGUUUGCUCUCCAACUAGCUUGUUAUAACCCAUUUAUACUAUAAUUAUAAUAUUAUAAUAUUAACCCAUUUAUACUAUUCCAUGUCUGCCACGUGACUGGUUACCUCUCCUCAGUUUCAGUCUGGGUGGUGAACCUUCCUGAACCUGACUCUUUCAGAGUCAGACAUGGAAUAGUAUAAAUGGGCUAAUACUAUAACAAGAAGCAAGGUGACCCACAGGCAGACUUGGUGCUGGAGAAGGAGUCAAGAGUUCUAUAUCCUAGUUAGCAGGCUGCAGGAGGUGAGAGACACACUGAGCCUGGCUUUAGCUUCUGAAACCUCUGAAGCCCACUUCCAGUGACAUGCUUCCUCCAACAAGGCCACGCCCCCUAAAGUUGUCACUCCCUAUGAGCCUUUGGGGACCAUUUUUAUUCAAACUACCACACCUGCCUUCACCUCCCUUAUGCUAGGAUUAUAGUCAUGUGUACAGUUUAUGUGGUGCUGGGGACUGAAACCAGGACCUUGGGCAGGCUAUACCACAUUCUACAGACUGAGCUAUUACUACACCCUCAGACCUAUAAAGGCUCGUCAGAGUUUAGGACCAAUUCCUCUGUGGCUGUAAAGAAUCCAGAUCUGUAGCUUAUGUGCUUAUUGCCUUAAAAAUCAUUUUAAAGAUCUACU